GCAUCCAAACAUUCAGUAUCUCCUCCCUCUGCAUGCAGACACUGAACUUUCCCCAUAGAGAUUCAUUGAUUCAAUUCAUCUCUAUGAGGAGAUGCUGAUUGGCCAGGGCUGUGUUUGAAUCAUGCUGGCUCUGCCCCUGAUCUGCCUCCUUGUCAGUCUCAGCCAAUCCUAUGGGGAAGCAUUGGGAUUGGAUCAGGCCACCACUUCUGAUGAUGUCAGCAGACUGCAUGCUGUUUGCCUCAGAAAAACAAGCAGAGUUACAGCUUCAGGCUUGAAUACAGUAAGAUUUUGCAAUAUCUAUGGAGGCAUGAGGGGCCCAGGGGGGCUAGAUGGUGGUUUUAACACUAUAGGGUCAGGAAUACAUGUUUGUGUUCCUGACCCUAUAGUGACCCUUUAACGUU